AUGGUCUCAAUAAUUUCCAUUGCCCUUGGUGGAAUUCUUGCUGGUUCAGUUACCAGCCAUACUGGCGGUGUUCAAAAGAUUACCGAUGAAAACUAUCAUCAGAUGGUUUUGAUUACAAGCAUGCUUGAAGGAACUUUGCUUGGUCAUGAACAUUACUCGUUUGGUUUUAGUAAAGCAUUCAAAAUGGACAUUUUUAUGUUGCUUGUUCAAGAAGAAAAUUAG